rnacentral:lncRNA from 10 species
GGGAGCGUCCUUGAGCAAAGCGCCACGCCCCGCGAGGGUAAGCGAUCUACGCCCUACCCCACCGGAGAGCUUCUGGGCGCGUCCCCUUCUCCGGGAGACCUAAGGAGGGCAACCACCGCUCCCAAUCUCCCUUGGCGGCGAGAACUGGAGGGUGCACCCACCACUAGAAUUUGAACAUCCUAAGAACAGGUAUUUUUGUCUCUGCUUUGCUGAUGUAUCCUCAGCAACCGGAACUGCCUGACAUCUGAUCCUUUCUGUGAGACACCAGGCUGUUGAGGAAGAAUCUAUGGCAACAUUGUAUCUAUUAAUAUACAGCUUCUGUAUUUAUCAGGCAAUGGUGCAAGACCCACUCGAGCACGCUCAGCUAUCAUAUGGAAAAAACAAAAACACCACAUUUGCCUUAUUAUACACACAGAACCAACAGCUCUUUCUGAGAUUUGCUUGAUGAAUAACAUAUCCUCCUGGCUUCCCUUUCUAAGACUUAUCUAUAUUUUUAAACAAGCUAAAGUGUUAUCAGCUGAGGCAGAAUGUAAAAUGAAAUUUUGCUGCACAUACCCAGAA